rnacentral:lncRNA from 1 species
CGCCUAACAAAAUAAGACACCAACAAGAAGAAUUAUAAAAAUAAAAAAACCACCUUGUAAAGGAAGAUUUUAUGGAAGAACAGUUAAUUAGGUGCCAGCUAAUGGGAAAGGAGGAAAGAAUAGUAUACAACAGUUGUACCCUAUACAGGAGAAGAAAGAAGGAAAAUAAGGAGAAAAAAACGUCUGCCUCUCUGCACUGUUUUAUUAACUUCUCUCCACACCGUUUCAUUGGCAAGAACAAAACGUUGCCAUCUGGCUUCUAGUUAUAAUCUUUUCAAAAUAGCAUCAAUUGAAGCAUAGGAAGGCAUUCAUUCAGGUACUUACCAAAUAAAACACAAAGCACUGCAAGUUAUAAUCUUUUCAAGAUAGCAUCAAUUGAAGCAUAGGAAGGCAUUCAUUCAGGUACUUACCAAAUAAAACACAAAGCACAGUGCUUCUAUUUGUUAAUGUGUCGUCAAACAAGGCCAAGUAAUUUAAUACCAAACAUCCUGAAUCCUGAACUAAGGUUCCUUUUCCACCUAGGAUAGCACUAAUGAUUCCUCUCUCAAGGAGUUCUAUAGAUUCAAAUAAGGGUGCUGAUAGUUUCAUUAUAAGCUUGACCUGAUAUGAAAAUAAACUUAUCUAACAGUUGUUUUUGUUAAAUUUGUUCUCAUAUAAGUUCAAGCUAAUAUUAGAUGCAGUAUUAUGAACUCAUUCCAACUCUCAAAUCUCUUAUACUUUUUGAAGAAAAUAACUUCCUCAUCCCAAAAAAAAUUGUUAUUUUUUAGAUUUCGAGAAACUUACUAACAACUUUUCAUGCAUAAAUUUAUUGGCAUCCUUUGUAUUUUAAUGUCGCAACCACACAAUAGAAUAUAAGUUUUUUUUUAUAGAAAAUAAUUUCCAUGGAAAAUAUUUUUGCAUGCAAGUUAUUUUCUAAGAAAUGAAACGUUAAUUCCACAAAAUUCUGCCUCGUAUUUGUUUAUAUCACCAAAUCACGAAUUUUCCAAGCACCUCCUUGCUUGCUACUGAAUUUAUCCAUUUCUACCUUAAACCAUAGAUUCAAUAUUUGGCAAGGAUAAUUCUCUAAGAUUACUCAAGUAUUAUGAUGUUAUUGGCGAAAAUAGGGAAAAGUAAAAAUACCAAAGCAAACAAUCAAGUGGUAUAUGAUAAACUUCUAAAUAAAGCAAAUUCCUACAUUCAAAAUUGAUAUCCAUAAAUGCAUUCUUUGCAGCAUAAUGGAGUAAAAACACGCUAAAAGUCUAUGUCUAGCUAAAAAAGCUGCCCAAUCUUCUCAUGUGCUUUUUACUUUCCUGCACAUGGUGUGCUUACCAGUUCCAAUAUCAUCAAAAGAUCAAGUAUUCAUGCACACAUACACUACAAACACACAAAAUAUUAUGAAUAGCUAGCUUACCA